rnacentral:rRNA from 1 species
AGUGAACGCUGGCGGUAGGCCUAACACAUGCAAGUCGAACGGCAGCACAGUAAGAGCUUGCUCUUACGGGUGGCGAGUGGCGGACGGGUGAGGAAUACAUCGGAAUCUACUUUUUCGUGGGGGAUAACGUAGGGAAACUUACGCUAAUACCGCAUACGACCUACGGGUGAAAGCAGGGGAUCUUCGGACCUUGCGCGAUUGAAUGAGCCGAUGUCGGAUUAGCUAGUUGGCUGGGUAAAGGCCCACCAAGGCGACGAUCCGUAGCUGGUCUGAGAGGAUGAUCAGCCACACUGGAACUGAGACACGGUCCAGACUCCUACGGGAGGCAGCAGUGGGGAAUAUUGGACAAUGGGCGCAAGCCUGAUCCAGCCAUACCGCGUGGGUGAAGAAGGCCUUCGGGUUGUAAAGCCCUUUUGUUGGGAAAGAAAAGCAGCAGGUUAAUACGCCGAUGUUCUGACGGUACCCAAAGAAUAAGCACCGGCUAACUUCGUG